GAUCAUGGCUCGAGGACGAACGCUGGCGGCGUGCCUAACACAUGCAAGUCGAGCGGGGACAGCGGAGUAGCAAUACGAAGCUGUUCUAGCGGCGGACGGGUGAGUAACGCGUGAGCAACCUGUCCCAGUCAGGGGGAUAACGAGCCGAAAGGCUCCCUAAUACCGCAUGAGACCACAGCGCCACAUGGCGCAGGGGGUCAAAGGAGAAAUCCGGACUGGGGUGGGCUCGCGUCUGAUUAGCUAGUUGGUGAGGUAAAGGCCCACCAAGGCGACGAUCAGUAGCCGACCUGAGAGGGUGAUCGGCCACAUUGGAACUGAGACACGGUCCAACUCCUACGGGAGGCAGCAGUGGGGAAUAUUGGGCAAUGGGGGAAACCCUGACCCAGCAACGCCGCGUGAAGGAAGAAGGUUUUCGGAUCGUAAACUUCUAUCCUUGGUGAAGAUAAUGACGGUAGCCAAGAAGGAAGCCCCGGCUAACUACGUGCCAGCCGCCGC
rnacentral:rRNA from 1 species